rnacentral:rRNA from 1 species
CGUAGGGUGCGAGCGUUAAUCGGAAUUACUGGGCGUAAAGCGUGCGCAGGCGGCGCCGCAAGUCGAGUGUGAAAUCCCCGAGCUUAACUUGGGAAUUGCGCUUGAAACUACGGUGCUGGAGUGUGGCAGAGGGAGGUGGAAUUCCACGUGUAGCGGUGAAAUGCGUAGAGAUGUGGAGGAACACCGAUGGCGAAGGCAGCCUCCUGGGCCAACACUGACGCUCAUGCACGAAAGCGUGGGGAGCAAACAGGAUUAGAUACCCUGGUAGUCCACGCCCUAAACGAUGAUGACUAGUUGUUGGGGGAGUUAAAUCCCUUAGUAACGCAGCUAACGCGUGAAGUCAUCCGCCUGGGGAGUACGGUCGCAAGAUUA